UAUUUCACCACAACUUUUUUUUUUUUUUUUUUUUUUUUUUUCAGAAUUAAUGAAGCAACAGCUCAAGCAAGAGACGGCGAGAAAACAGGAGGGUAUGAAAAGUGAGACGACAGGAUGCAGGAAGGAGUCAGACUACCACAGCACUCCAGGAAGAGCCAGCCGCUGGUCUCCUGUUGUCGGACUCUGAACGGAUAGCAGGCUACAGAACCACCAUGGCAAAGCUCACUUGCAGCCUAGCCAUGCAGAGAAGGAGACAGCAGCGUGAAAGUCAUCUGCUCCCCACUGCGGAGGCACCUCUUCCCUGUCUGAGGAGCACAGGUGUGAUCAAGGCAUCCUGAUCCUGGCUUGCCGAUUACAUGGAUGAUCCCGGAAUCUGCUUGCUGGAUUUUUGAAGCGAUCUCUUGUCAGUUCCUUUGCUGUGCCAGUUCUUGGGUGUAGUUCUGGGAGGCAGAAGCUUCCGA
rnacentral:lncRNA from 1 species